rnacentral:rRNA from 1 species
UACGGAGGGUGCAAGCGUUAUCCGGAUUCACUGGGUUUAAAGGGUGCGUAGGCGGGUUGGUAAGUCAGUGGUGAAAUCCCCGAGCUUAACUUGGGAACUGCCAUUGAUACUAUUAAUCUUGAAUACCGUGGAGGUCGACGGAAUAUGUCAUGUAGCGGUGAAAUGCUUAGAUAUGACAUAGAACACCAAUUGCGAAGGCAGCUCACUACACGAAUAUUGACACUGAGGCACGAAAGCGUGGGGAUCAAACAGG